GGACUUCGGUCUGGUGGCGAGUGGCGAACGGGUGAGUAAUGUAUCGGAACGUACCUUUCAGUGGGGGAUAACGUAGCGAAAGUUACGCUAAUACCGCAUAUUCUGUGAGCAGGAAAGCAGGGGAUCGCAAGACCUUGCGCUGAUUGAGCGGCCGAUAUCAGAUUAGCUAGUUGGUGGGGUAAAGGCCUACCAAGGCUACGAUCUGUAGCGGGUCUGAGAGGAUGAUCCGCCACACUGGAACUGAGACACGGUCCAGACUCCUACGGGAGGCAGCAGUGGGGAAUUUUGGACAAUGGGGGCAACCCUGAUCCAGCCAUGCCGCGUGAGUGAAGAAGGCCUUCGGGUUGUAAAGCUCUUUCAGCCGGGAAGAAAUCGCAUCAGCUAAUACCUGGUGUGGAUGACGGUACCGGAAUAAGAAGCACCGGCUAACUACGUGCCAGCAGCCGCGGUAAUACGUAGGGUGCGAGCGUUAAUCGGAAUUACUGGGCGUAAAGCGUGCGCAGGCGGUUGUGUAAGACAGGCGUGAAAUCCCCGGGCUCAACCUGGGAACUGCGUUUGUGACUGCACAGCUAGAGUAUGGCAGAGGGGGGUGGAAUUCCACGUGUAGCAGUGAAAUGCGUAGAGAUGUGGAGGAACACCGAUGGCGAAGGCAGCCCCCUGGGCCAAUACUGACGCUCAUGCACGAAAGCGUGGGUAGCAAACAGGAUUAGAUACCCUGGUAGUCCACGCCCUAAACGAUGUCAACUAGGUGUUGGGGAGGGUAAAACCUUUUAGUACCGGAGCUAACGCGUGAAGUUGACCGCCUGGGGGAGUACGGCCGCAAGGUUAAAACUCAAAGGGAAUUGACGGGGGACCCGCACAAGCGGUGGAUGAAUGUGGGAUUAAUUUCGAUGC
rnacentral:rRNA from 1 species